GACAGAGGGUGCAAACGUUGUUCGGAAUUACUGGGCGUAAAGCGUGUGUAGGCGGCCGCGCAAGUCGGAUGUGAAAGCCCUGGGCUCAACUCAGGAAGUGCACCCGAUACUGCGUGGCUCGAGUACCGGAGAGGUUGGUGGAAUUCUCGGUGUAGAGGUGAAAUUCGUAGAUAUCGAGAGGAACACCAGUGGCGAAGGCGACUCUUUGGCCUGUAACUGACGCUGAGGCGCGAAAGCGUGGGGGAGCAAACAGG
rnacentral:rRNA from 1 species